rnacentral:rRNA from 1 species
GACGAACGCUGGCGGCGUGCUUAACACAUGCAAGUCGAACGGAAAGUGCUCAGCUUGCUGGGUGACUCGAGUGGCGAACGGGUGAGUAACACGUGGGUGAUCUGCCCUGCACUUUGGGAUAAGCCUGGGAAACUGGGUCUAAUACCGAAUAUUCCUUGCUGGUCGCAUGGCCUGGUGGGGGAAAGCUUUUGCGGUGUGGGAUGGGCCCGCGGCCUAUCAGCUUGUUGGUGGGGUGAUGGCCUACCAAGGCGACGACGGGUAGCCGGCCUGAGAGGGUGUCCGGCCACACUGGGACUGAGAUACGGCCCAGACUCCUACGGGAGGCAGCAGUGGGGAAUAUUGCACAAUGGGCGCAAGCCUGAUGCAGCGACGCCGCGUGAGGGAUGACGGCCUUCGGGUUGUAAACCUCUUUCAAUAGGGACGAAGCGUAAGUGACGGUACCUAUAGAAGAAGCACCGGCCAACUACGUGCCAGCCGCCGCCGUAA